GCUGAGGUACCAAGCCUUUAUUAUCUCAUUUGAUCCUCAUGACAACCCUGUGAGGUAGAUGAUAUUACUAUCCCCGUUUUAGAGUUGAGGAAACUCAGGCAGACAGAGGUGAAGAGACUUGCCCAGAUUCACAUAGCAAGUAAGUGUCUGAGAUAGAAUUUGAACUCAGGACUCUGGACUCCAGGCCCAGUGUGCUAACCAAUGUGCCACCUAGCUGCUUCUAGCAAGUAUGAAAACCUAGUGUUUCAGACAAACUGGGGGAGACCUUCUGUCUCUCUUCUCUGUAUCAGUCUUUCUCUUCUUUAAACAUCCAUCCUUUGCAGAUAAGGAGAUAAAUAGUUCCUUAGCCUUAGUCCAUUCUAGCUACACUUGUCAUAGGCUCCAGCAGGUAGAAGUGAUUAAAUGAAGUCCCUCUGGGGGUCGGCUAAAGAAUACUUCCACUUGCAUAACAAAGAGAAAAUGUGCCAGCCUCCCUCCCUGUGAGCCUUGCCACAAGCCAGUGCAGGAAGCCAUCUGGAGAACGGACGCUGAAGUCAGGCAACAACAUCCUGUCAUUUUUUAUGUGGAACUUUGCAACCCGAACAAACAACGGCAUCUCAAGCUUCAUUCGUCUGAAUCUCUAGUGCUCUUGGCAGAGGUUGUAACCAGUAGUGGUUCUGUUGAUUUGCUGCAUCAAAAGUAAUUAGGUUACAGCACUCCCUGGCACAGCCUCUGAUAAUGGCAGAAGAGCCCCAGGCUUUAGCUUUGUGCUUGAUGUCACAGUGAAGUUUAUACUCAUGAAAACACACUCCUUUUGUUUGGUUCGUGGGUUGUAUUCAUUGCCGUAACUGUAAACCUGAAUAUCUCUUCGAGAAGCUUAUUUAGGCAGACUAGGUUGUCUUGCUUUCCUAAAUCAGAAUUGUUUCUUUAUCAUUUAUAGAGUUCAAAUGAAAUAGUUGAUGCCCCAGGUUGGGAGGUUGUGUUCCUAAGAUAAACGUGUGGCACCUCCAUCUUCACUUGAUGUCUUUUUUUUUUUUUUGGAAUAUGGUGGGGGAAAGCACCUAGAAUUCGGGGGUGUUGUAAAAUUAUAUCAGAUUAACUUGGAACUCAGUUCUAUACUCUUGCCCAUAGGAUGAUAAUCUUACUGACCUUUUAACCCUAGCUUGUUGGAAAACUCCACUAAGAGCCAAACUUUCAUAUAUGAAGUCAUCAAAUGAAUCAGUUUCAGAAUCUGAGUCAGAUAAAGAAACCAUUUAACUAGAGUUAAAAUCAAGGUAUCAUUGACUAUGCAAAAUAAAACAGACAUUAAUUACA
rnacentral:lncRNA from 1 species